AGUAGAACGCUGAAGAGAGGAGCUUGCUCUUCUUGGAUGAGUUGCGAACGGGUGAGUAACGCGUAGGUAACCUGCCUUGUAGCGGGGGAUAACUAUUGGAAACGAUAGCUAAUACCGCAUAACAAUGGAUGACACAUGUCAUUUAUUUGAAAGGGGCAAUUGCUCCACUACAAGAUGGACCUGCGUUGUAUUAGCUAGUAGGUGAGGUAAUGGCUCACCUAGGCGACGAUACAUAGCCGACCUGAGAGGGUGAUCGGCCACACUGGGACUGAGACACGGCCCAGACCCCUACGGGAGGCAGCAGUAGGGAAUCUUCGGCAAUGGGGGCAACCCUGACCGAGCAACGCCGCGUGAGUGAAGAAGGUUUUCGGAUCGUAAAGCUCUGUUGUAAGUCAAGAACGGGUGUGAGAGUGGAAAGUUCACACUGUGACGGUAGCUUACCAGAAAGGGACGGCUAACUACGUGCCAGCAGCCGCGGUAAUACGUAGGUCCCGAGCGUUGUCCGGAUUUAUUGGGCGUAAAGCGAGCGCAGGCGGUUUGAUAAGUCUGAAGUUAAAGGCUGUGGCUCAACCAUAGUUCGCUUUGGAAACUGUCAAACUUGAGUGCAGAAGGGGAGAGUGGAAUUCCAUGUGUAGCGGUGAAAUGCGUAGAUAUAUGGAGGAACACCGGUGGCGAAAGCGGCUCUCUGGUCUGUAACUGACGCUGAGGCUCGAAAGCGUGGGGAGCGAACAGGAUUAGAUACCCUGGUAGUCCACGCCGUAAACGAUGAGUGCUAG
rnacentral:rRNA from 1 species